UUCCCAUCUCCCCUUGACGACACAAACGUCAUCUGUUCGUUUCUAGCGUCGUCAUCGACCCUGCAUCCUUUUCUCUGUGUGUCUCACAUCAAGAAACGUUUCUUAUAUUUUCUCUCUCUCUCCCCGUCUUAUGUUGGAAGUCUUUCGUCUCGUUUUACUCUCCCUCAUAUUUUCUCAUCUUGGAUAUUAUUCCAAUCCGUCAUAUUGUAUUCGAGCAACAAGAGUAUCUUGCCCUCGCUGUAUCGAGACGGCACAAAGAGACCCUCUGAACAACAAGAGACGGUUAUGGGCCCAGUAACCCUAACGUGCUGCAUAGCAUAACACAACAAGAUGGACACAAUACACUCAAGAGAAGGCAGC